GUUCGGUUUUGCCCAAGCCCAAUACAAAGGAGACCUACAGGAUAAAGAGUUUGAAGCCGAUCCUAAUAAGAAAGCCGCUAUGCGCAAAAUUAGAGAGGGGGAGGACCUCCACAGUGGAGUAGCACGCCUGGUGGAUUUAAAUCCGCAAGACUACGAAUUCCGCCGUGUUCUUAAUGCAUCUCUUAAACAUCUUGAUUCUUAUGCUAAUGGAGAUUGCCGUUAAAUUUCUUUUUUUGUGUUUGUCUCUAUAGCGCAACAAAAGCUCCUCGGGAACUGGAGGUUGUGGAGAGUUACUUUCUUUCAGCAUUUCUUUUUUCUGUCAAGAUUUUGGUAUUAGUUUUUAAAUGAUGGAUAUGGGCCUCUUCAUUUUUUCCCAUGAAUGGGUAGCAAACUAAGUUUUAUAGCGCCAAUCGGUGUAAUUGUUUAUCUCCUCUUUGGGCCAUACACGGGUAAUCGGUAGACUUGUUGGUUGACUUCAGCUAGUGAUGUAUGAUUCUUUAAACUUUUUCCAUUCUUUUCUUUUUUUUUCUUUUUUUGAAGAUGCCGAAUAAACUGAUAACCUAGAAAUUU